UGCUCCUGAGCCUACCCUGACAACUUGUAGACCACAAAUCACCUGGCAUUUGGCCUUUAUGGCACCCACACCCAACCUCCUCCAUGAGAUCACUAAGUUCUCCUAACUAGAACCCUAGCUAUGUGACACACUCCCCAAAGAAAAUAUCGCUAGAAGAUCCUUAUUUUACUGCUGGUUCAUCUAAGGGUAUGAGAGGGAUUCAUGGUAGACUUCUUUUUCCUCAGCCCACCAGGUGGAACUGGCUGUUUUGAUUCAUCUAUUACAGCUCCUCCAGCCCUGAGCCAUCAGACACCUGUGGAGUGUGAGGAGAAAGUGGAAGUCACCAGAAAGAUAGCAAGCCUCCAGCUAAUGGACAAAGGGAGAUGUGGCUCUACCAUCAAAAGUCAAGUCUGCCCACCUGGGCCCCAAUGAUGGCACCAGGGGAGAAGGUAUCUAGACCUUGGGUUGUAACAGUCACUCCUCCAUCUGGAGAAAGGACUUCCCCUUGGAAACUGAAUCACUUCCUGACUGCAUAGGACAUCACAAAAUUUUUAUUACUAUUAAAGGCAAAUGUGAGAUUAUAUUCUACAAGAUACUAGAACUACAAAUUGUCUGGGUCUCUUUUCAAGCUAUUCUCUAGAUUUCUGUGGUCAACAUAAUAAUGUCACUAGUAGUACCUGACAUCGUUUGGUUCUUUGUUCUUGGUGGCAAAGUAUUAAACACAAUGCUUCCACAGUUCUAACAUCCAUCGUAUU